GUCCACGCUGUAAACGAUGAAUACUAGCUGUCGGAGAAGAUAAUUUUUCGGUAGCGCAGCUAACGCGAUAAGUAUUCCGCCUGGGGAGUACGGCCGCAAGGUUAAAACUCAAAGGAAUUGACGGGGGCCCCGCACAAGCGGUGGAGCAUGUGGUUUAAUUCGAUGCAACGCGAAGAACCUUACCUACUCUUGACAUCCUGAGAACCUCAUGUAAUGUGAGGGUGCCGAAAGGAGCUCAGAGACAGGUGCUGCAUGGCUGUCGU
rnacentral:rRNA from 1 species